AUAGCCUCCGAAUAGCGAGAAGGUUCAAUAUCUGAAUACCUUCUGGUUCAGACAGAGGCUUACAUUAAAACUCGAAUCAGCUUUGCGGGUUAAAGAGGUUUAUUCUUUUUGGCCCUUCAAAUCUCCCAUUCCUUUUCUUGGAUAGAUUCGAAUAUCU